AAAACAUCGCCUCUUGACUGAUUAUAAGAGGUCCAGCCUGCCCAGUGAUAUAAUUCAACGGCCGCGGUAUCCUAACCGCGCGAAGGUAGCAUAAUCACUUGUUCUUUAAAUAAGGACUAGUAUCAACGGCAUCACGAGGGUUACACUGUCUCCUCCAUCUAAUCAGUGAAACUGAUCUCCCCGUGAAGAAGCGGGGAUUACAUAAUAAGACGAGAAGACCCCAUGGAGCUUUAAACCCUAAAGCAACUCUGACACAUAAUUCAUCAUAACCUACAGAAAUAUGCUAGACGGUUUUAGGUUGGGGCGACCGCGGAGAAAAAAUUAACCUCCACAACGAAAAGAACUAAACCUUUAUCUAAGAGCUACCCCUCUAAGAAUUAGUAUACUAACGGACAAUGACCCGAUAAUCGAUCAACGGACCAAGUUACCCUGGGGAUAACAGCGCAAUCUACUUCAAGAGCCCAUAUCGACAAGUAGGCUUACGACCUCGAUGUUGGAUCAGGGUACCCCAGUGGUGCAGCCGCUACUAAUGGUUCGUUUGUUCAACGAUUAAAACCCUACGUGAUCU
rnacentral:rRNA from 1 species